GAUGAAGAACGUAGCGAAAUGCGAUAAGUAAUGUGAAUUGCAGAAUUCAGUGAAUCAUCGAAUCUUUGAACGCACAUUGCGCCCGCCAGUAUUCUGGCGGGCAUGCCUGUUCGAGCGUCAUUUCAACCCUCAAGACCCCUUCGGGGGACUUGGUGUUGGGGUCCGGCACAGGGGCCUGCCUGCUUGUCUUGCAGCGCCCUCGCCGCCCCCGAAAUGAAUUGGCGGCCUCGUCGCGGCCUCCCCUGCGUAGUAGCACAACCUCGCAACGGGAACGUGACGGCGGCCACUGCCGUAAAACAACCCCAAUUUUAUUAGAGUUGACCUCGAAUCAGGUAGGAAUACCCGCUGAACUUAAGCAUAUCAAUAAGCGGAGGA
rnacentral:misc_RNA from 1 species